rnacentral:rRNA from 1 species
GAAUUUUAUAUUUGUUUUGAUUUAAUAAAUUAUAAUAAGUAUUUUAUUGGGAGGAUGAUUAAAUAUAAUUAACUUUAAUUUUUAAUUACAUUAAUUAAUGGGGUUUAAUUUAAAAUGAAUAAUUAUUGAUUAAUAAAGAAUUAAUUACUUUAGGGAUAACAGCAUAAUAUUUUUUUGUAGUUCAUAUAUGAAGAAUUGAUUAU